CGAAAACACACACUAGUAACUCUCUCUUACUAACUGCAGUCUCGCCAAAAGCUCUUAAAUUCGAGUGACCAAAGCUGCAUUGUAUUGGGACUCCCCCCCUUAUAGAGUACAAUAAUUUCUAACUCGAAAGAACGAAAAACGUUUCCCUAACAAAACUAAUGUGAUUUCUCAUGCGCUUUUUUAAUGGAUCAUUGGCGCUGAUGCAGUAAUAUUUUUGCCAUUUUUUGCGGCUGCUCAUUAAUUAGUGUUGUUACUAAAUAAAGCGUCCAACUAACUAAACCAA
rnacentral:sRNA from 1 species